rnacentral:rRNA from 1 species
AGUGAACGCUGGCGGCGUGCCUAACACAUGCAAGUCGAACGAGAACGGUUCACGGAUUCCUUCGGGAUGAAGUGAAUGUCAGCUAAGUGGCGCACGGGUGAGUAAUAUAUAGGUAACAUGCCCCUUAGAGAGGGAUAACGGCUGGAAACGGCCGCUAAUACCUCAUAUUCCUGUAUGACAUAAGUUGUAUAGGGAAACGGUUUAUUCCGCUAAGGGAUUGGCCUGUAUCGUAUCAGCUAGUUGGUGGGGUAACGGCCCACCAAGGCUAUGACGCGUAGCUGGUCUGAGAGGAUGAUCAGUCACACUGGAACUGAGACACGGUCCAGACUCCUACGGGAGGCAGCAGUGGGGAAUAUUGCACAAUGGGCGCAAGCCUGAUGCAGCAACGCCGCGUGGAGGAUGACGCACUUCGGUGUGUAAACUCCUUUUCUGUCGGAAGAUAAUGACGGUAUGACAGGAAUAAGCACCGGCUAACUCCGUGCCAGCAGCCGCGGUAAUACGGAGGGUGCAAGCGUUACUCGGAAUCACUGGGCGUAAAGGACGCGUAGGCGGGAUGGUAAGUCAGAUGUGAAAUCCCACAGCUUAACUGUAGAACUGCAUUUGAAACUGCCAACCUAGAGUUUGGGAGAGGCAGAUGGAAUUGGUGGUGUAGGGGUAAAAUCCGUAGAGAUCACCAGGAAUACCGAUGGCGAAGGCGAUCUGCUGGAACAAUACUGACGCUGAGGCGUGAAAGCGUGGGGAGCAAACAGGAUUAGAUACCCUGGUAGUCCACGCCCUAAACGAUGAAUGCUAGUUGUUGGGGUGCUCGUCAUCCCAGUAAUGCAGCUAACGCAAUAAGCAUUCCGCCUGGGGAGUACGGUCGCAAGAUUAAAACUCAAAGGAAUAGACG